rnacentral:sRNA from 1 species
AUCAAGGGCCCCCAGUCCCGGGUGCCGAGGGGACGGUGUAGGGUCAUUAGCUGUUGAGCCGCCCCGGGCGGGCCCAAGCCUUUGGGUCUCAGGUGACCGGCAUAGGCGGCCGCGGGGUCCGGAACUGCUUGUUCCGGCAGUGGAAGAGACGCGCCGGCGUUGGCCGCUGCUGCUAGCAGCUUGAACCCCAGGUCGGGACCGAUGGCGGCUUGGGCUGCUGCCAGCCUAAGCAGGGCCGCUGCCCUAUGCUUGCUGGCACGAGGCCCCGGGGUCAGGGCGGCUCCUCCGCGCGACCCCCGGCCCUCCCACCCCGAGCCCCGGGGCUGUGGUGCCGCUCCGGGCAGGACGCUGCACUUCACCGCGGCUGUCCCCGCCGGGCACAACAAGUGGUCCAAAGUCAGGCACAUCAAGGGUCCGAAGGACGUCGAAAGGAGUCGCAUCUUCUCCAAACUCUGUUUGAACAUCCGCCUGGCAGUGAAAGAAGGAGGCCCCAACCCUGAGCACAACAGCAACCUGGCCAAUAUCUUAGAGGUGUGUCGCAGCAAACAUAUGCCCAAGUCAACGAUUGAGACAGCGCUGAAAAUGGAGAAAUCCAAGGACACUUAUUUGCUGUAUGAGGGUCGAGGCCCUGGUGGCUCUUCUCUGCUCAUCGAGGCGUUAUCUAACAGUAGCCACAAGUGUCAAGCAGACAUUAGACAUAUCCUGAAUAAGAAUGGGUAAGUGUACGUCUGGGAGGAGUGGUAGGGGACAGAGCCUUUAUGUUCCAAUUCUCUGCAAGGCAAGUACUGUUGAUCUCUGCUAGUGUUUCAGGGUUUUGUUUUUUGUUUUUUUGUUUUUUGAGACGGAGUCUCACUCUUGUCGCCCAGGCUGGAGUGCAAUGGCAUGAUCUUGGCUCACUGCAACCUCUGCCUUCUGGGUUCAAGUGAUUCUCCUGCCUCAGCCUCCUGAGUAGCUGGGAUUAAAGAUACCCACAGCCAUGCCCAGCUAAUUUUUGUAUUUUUAGUAGAGAUGACAGGGUUUCAUCAUGUUGGCCAGACUAGUCUUGAACUCCUGAUCUCAGGUGAUCCACCUGCCUCAGCCUCCCAAAGUGCUGGGAGCCACCAUGCCUGGCCAUGUUUCGGGUUUUAAGCACACUUGCUCCUUAGCAGAAUCCAAUGAGUUAAUUGACUUUCCCUUAAUGUAGUCUCUACUAGCAGGAUCCCAAAGACUUGUUCAUCGGAUGUAGAAGGGGAUCUUUGUCCUAUUAUCCCCAUCUGUAGCCAUAUAAUGCCCAAGUCUUAAAAUGCUCCACCAGGACUGGCAUCUUAAUGGCACAGGAAAUUAUCAGCUAAGUCUGCUUCCUCCCAACUGCAAUCAGGGCAGAAAAUCAAGCGUGGGACAUUCUUGGGCUGUUCCCUUACCCAGCAGCAGCUGCAUUUUCUCCUUGAGAAUGCGAUCUGCUCCAUGUCUGUGUGUACUUCAUAGACUGGGUGAGAAAGAGACAGCGAUAGAAUGAUGAGCUUUAUGGAGGCUGAGCUUCUAGAGGCAUCCACUCAUGCCAGCCUGUUUCCUUCCCUGUCAGAGGAGUGAUGGCUGUAGGAGCUCGUCACUCUUUUGACAAAAAGGGGGUGAUUGUGGUUGAAGUGGAGGACAGAGAGAAGAAGGCUGUGAACCUAGAGCGUGCCCUGGAGAUGGCAAUCGAAGCAGGAGCUGAGGAUGUCAAGGAAACUGAAGAUGAAGAAGAAAGGAACGUUUUUAAAUUUAUUUGUGAUGCCUCUUCACUGCACCAAGUGAGGAAGAAGCUGGACUCCCUGGGCCUGUGUUCUGUGUCCUGUGCACUAGAGUUCAUCCCCAACUCAAAGGUGCAGCUGGCUGAGCCCGACCUGGAACAGGCCGCACAUCUCAUUCAGGCUCUCAGCAACCACGAGGAUGUGAUUCACGUCUAUGAUAACAUUGAAUAACCAGGCUACAUGUGCCCCCGGGUUCCUUCCUAGAAAUGUGGCAGCCCAUUCCAGCACACAGGCUUCUGCAGCAAUCUCUGAGGGUAAAGCCGGUGGGAGGCUCAGCAGGCCAGGAGGCCCAAGGCCAGGACUUGCGACCUUGAAGCCAAAGGAAUCUCACUUGUGGGGCCUCCUUGUCAGCUCUGCUGCUGUCUCAGAGCCAUCUGGAUGAGUGUCCCGACACCCUCUCGGAUGCAGGGCAGGACCACCCAGCUGGUCAGACUCUGAUGUUGGGUAGCUGGCCUCUGUGGGGAUUGUAAGUGCCCUGAGGCGCUCUGUACUAGAAACUGCUCUUAAUAAUAACGGUGAUUAUUGGUUGCUGC